rnacentral:pre_miRNA from 1 species
GAUUUACUCCAUCUGUUCUGAAUUACUUGUCGCAGAUAUGGAUGUAUCUAGAUGUAUUUUAGUUGUAAAUAUAUCCAUUUUUGUGACGAGUAAUUUGAAACGGAGGGAGUACAAC